rnacentral:rRNA from 1 species
CCUGGUUGAUCCUGCCAGUAGUCAUAUGCUUGUCUCAAAGAUUAAGCCAUGCAUGUCUAAGUAUAAGCACUUGUACUGUGAAACUGCGAAUGGCUCAUUAAAUCAGUUAUCGUUUAUUUGAUUGUACCUUACUACAUGGAUACCUGUGGUAAUUCUAGAGCUAAUACAUGCGAAAGAUCCCGACUUCACGGAAGGGAUGUAUUUAUUAGACUAAAAACCAAUGCGGGCCUCGGUCCGCUUGCUUGGUGAUUCAUGAUAACUUUUCGAAUCGCAUGGCCUUGCGCCGGCGAUGUUUCAUUCAAAUUUCUGCCCUAUCAACUGUCGAUGGUAAGGUAGUGGCUUACCAUGGUUGCAACGGGUGACGGAGAAUUAGGGUUCGAUUCCGGAGAGGGAGCCUGAGAAACGGCUACCACAUCUAAGGAAGGCAGCAGGCACGAAAAUUACCCAAUCCCGAUUCGGGGAGGUAGUGACAAGAAAUAACGGUACGGGGCCUUUAUAGGUCUCGCAAUCGGAAUGAGAACAAUUUAAAUCCUUUAACGAGGAUCAAUUGGAGGGCAAGUCUGGUGCCAGCAGCCGCGGUAAUUCCAGCUCCAAUAGCGUAUAUUAAAGUUGUUGCAGUUAAAAAGCUCGUAGUUGGAUUUCGGAGCGGGCCCGUCGGUCCACCGCAAGGUGAGCUACUGGCGGGUCUGUUCUUCUUCGCAAAGACUGCAGGUGCACUUCGCUGUGUGCUUGUCGGAUUUGUGACGUUUACUUUGAAAAAAUUAGAGUGUUCAAAGCAGGCGUUCGCUUGAAUACAUGAGCAUGGAAUAAUGGAAUAGGACUUUGGUUCUAUUUUGUUGGUUUCUAGGACCGAAGUAAUGAUUAAGAGGGACAAACGGGGGCAUCUGUAUUUCGUUGUCAGAGGUGAAAUUCUUGGAUUUGCGAAAGACAAACAACUGCGAAAGCACUUGCCAAGAGUGUUUUCAUUAAUCAAGAACGAAAGUUAGAGGAUCGAAGACGAUCAGAUACCGUCCUAGUUCUAACCAUAAACGAUGUCGACUAGGGAUCGGCGGGCGUUAUU